UACGUAGGGGGCAAGCGUUGUCCGGAUUUAUUGGGCGUAAAGCGCGUGUAGGCGGCUUGGUAAGUCCGCUGUGAAAACUCGAGGCUCAACCUCGAGAUGUCGGCGGAAACCACUUGGCUAGAGUCCGGAAGAGGAGAGUGGAAUUCCCGGUGUAGCGGUGAAAUGCGCAGAUAUCGGGAAGAACACCUAUGGCGAAGGCAGCUCUCUGGGACGGUACUGACGCUGAGACGCGAAAGCGUGGGGAGCGAACAGG
rnacentral:rRNA from 1 species